rnacentral:rRNA from 1 species
CAGUGAAAUUGAACUCGCUGUGAAGAUGCAGUGUACCCGCGGCAAGACGGAAAGACCCCGUGAACCUUUACUAUAGCUUGACACUGAACAUUGAGCCUUGAUGUGUAGGAUAGGUGGGAGGCUUUGAAGUGUGGACGCCAGUCUGCAUGGAGCCGACCUUGAAAUACCACCCUUUAAUGUUUGAUGUUCUAACGUUGGCCCGUAAUCCGGGUUGCGGACAGUGUCUGGUGGGUAGUUUGACUGGGGCGGUCUCCUCCUAAAGAGUAACGGAGGAGCACGAAGGUUGGCUAAUCCUGGUCGGACAUCAGGAGGUUAGUGCAAUGGCAUAAGCCAGCUUGACUGCGAGCGUGACGGCGCGAGCAGGUGCGAAAGCAGGUCAUAGUGAUCCGGUGGUUCUGAAUGGAAGGGCCAUCGCUCAACGGAUAAAAGGUACUCCGGGGAUAACAGGCUGAUACCGCCCAAGAGUUCAUAUCGACGGCGGUGUUUGGCACCUCGAUGUCGGCUCAUCACAUCCUGGGGCUGAAGUAGGUCCCAAGGGUAUGGCUGUUCGCCAUUUAAAGUGGUACGCGAGCUGGGUUUAGAACGUCGUGAGACAGUUCGGUCCCUAUCUGCCGUGGGCGCUGGAGAACUGAGGGGGGCUGCUCCUAGUACGAGAGGACCGGAGUGGACGCAUCACUGGUGUUCGGGUUGUCAUGCCAAUGGCACUGCCCGGUAGCUAAAUGCGGAAGAGAUAAGUGCUGAAAGCAUCUAAGCACGAAACUUGCCCCGAGAUGAGUUCUCCCUGACUCCUUGAGGGUCCUGAAGGAACGUUGAAGACGACGACGUUGAUAGGCCGGGUGUGUAAGCGCAGCGAUGCGUUGAGCUAACCGGUACUAAUGAACCGUGAGGCUUAAC